UUCGGUUCAUUCCACGGGUUUUUUCAGACAAGACUUUCACAAGAGUAGGAGGUUCACUUCUGGAGACACGACGCAGUCACCGUGCUCUGCGUGACAGUCUGGCACUCUCCAGACAUCACUCACUCCACCCAGGAGUCAGACGUGAAGUGGGGAGAGAGAGAUUGUGUGGGCAGAGGUCUCAUACCUCAUGGGUGGUGUCAGAGGUGGCGCACGGUUAGUCCUCCAAGUCCUUCCGCCGUUACCGUGGGAGGCUGCCAGUCAUCCUUGUGUUGUAAUAUUCUCCCCUUCAAACUGUCACUCCUGCAAGUGUGCUGACAGAUGCCAAAUAAAGACUGUGUUGUGGUUUCAGAUAUUUUCCCCAACAGCAACAGAUAGUGGAGUUGCGCACGCAGAAGCUACUUUGAUCAAUAUUUCCUGCAUAUUUAACUCCUCCUGCCUACCAGUGUGUGGAAGACCAUUGCUCAGUCGGGCACUAAGAGGCCCUUUCUAACCGGCGUUCUACUCCCGAGGGGUGUGUCCUGUGGUGUUGCCGAGAGAGGGGAAAAACAUAAGAGCAUAGAAUAGAAGACAGGGAGGAAUGUGUGUCUCCAGCCCUCCAGUGACAGCCGUCCUGCAGCUGACCUUCAACAGCAGAUGAAUGCGCAGAUAGACAGGGCGCCCUGCAGACAGCAGCCCGUAGCACAGCGGCGGAGGAUAGAGGAUGGCCUGCACCUCUACCCGACGCUUGUCUCCAUUGGCGUGUGUCUGCAGAGUCUGCAAAACACCAACCCUCUACGAGGGGAUGCCAAAGGACAUUUCGUAGAAGUUUCACUCUGUUGCAAUGGGGAAACCACCAAAGUUCUUUACUUCGGUUAAACUGCUGAUCAACAACUGGUGGAGUGGAAGUGAAAGCAAUCCAAACUUCUGCUCAAGUGAAAUUAUGAAGGAGCUUUAUCUUCAACUGAACUGAGUACUAAAAGUCAAAGCAUCCGUGGUCUUUGUGCCUUGCAGUUCAAUAAUUUAGCAACUAUUCUUUGAUUCAUGGCUCACACUGACUACACAUUUAUGUAAGUCAAGCUGCUGAGUUGAUCUAAUCUUUUUGCAAAAAAAAUGUAAAAACAUACUUUUGAAUUGUCACAACAAAAUUAAAGUCAGUAUGUAUACUUGUGUACUUGUAUACUUUUACUCUGAUUG